UCGGGUUGUAAAGCACUUUUGUCCGGAAAGAAAACUUCUGCCCUAAUACGGUGGGAGGAUGACGGUACCGGAAGAAUAAGCACCGGCUAACUACGUGCCAGCAGCCGCGGUAAUACGUAGGGUGCGAGCGUUAAUCGGAAUUACUGGGCGUAAAGCGUGCGCAGGCGGUUCGUUAAGACAGAUGUGAAAUCCCCGGGCUUUACCUGGGAACUGCAUUUGUGACUGGCCGAGCUAGAGUAUGGCAGAGGGGGGUAGAAUUCCCACGUGUAGCAGUGAAAUGCGUAGAGAUGUGGAGGAAUACCGAUGGCGAAGGCAGCCCCAUGGGCCAAUACUGACGCUCAUGCACGAAAGCGUGGGGAGCAAACAGGAUUAGAUACCCUGGUAGUCCACGCCCUAAACGAUGUCAACUAGUUGUUGGGUCUUCAUUGACUUAGUAACGUAGCUAACGCGUGAAGUUGACCGCCUGGGGAGUACGGUCGCAAGAUUAAAACUCAAAGGAAUUGACGGGGACCCGCACAAGCGGUGGAUGAUGUGGAUUAAUUCGAUGCAACGCGAAAAACCUUACCUACCCUUGACAUGGUCGGAACCCUGCUG
rnacentral:rRNA from 1 species